ACUGCUCCUCUCUAAGUCCAUCAAUGAGUACGGUUGUACUGACAUGGCCCAUGGAGGGUGAAAGGCCCGUAAGAGAGGAGGUUUGGUAUGACAGUGUCUCUCUGGAUUGACCUUGGAGUCGGGUUGUUUGGGAAUGCAGCCCUAAGCGGGUGGUAAACUCCAUCCAAGGCUAAAUACAAGCACGAGUCCGAUAGCGAACAAGUACCGUGAGGGAAAGUUGAAAAGUACUUUGAAGAGAGAGUAAACAGUGCGUGAAACCGCUUAGAGGUAAACGGGUGGAGUUGAACUGCAAUCUCUGAGAAUUCAGCUGGGGAAUUUUGCUUGAGCUUGGUCAAAAUGGGCAGGGCCUCGGGGUAUGCAUAUGUGCAUGUCCUGACUUUCGGGUCGGGAUGCGCGUUGCUCUUAUCAAGGGUUGCGCGCCUCGGGUGUCCGGCUGGCUCUGUCGCCAGUGCACUUUCUCAGAGUGAUCAUCACGACCGGCGCUGCUGCUUGGCUGUUUUUGUUAAACCGAAUGUUCAUCCUCCUUGUGGCGUUGGGCGGUCGGCACGCCAGGUAACUGGGGGCUUGCUUCGGCUUGCUGCUCGGUGUAUGUCGGCUUUAACGGUUCUAUGCGGUGUGUCGGAGACGGCGGCUAGUAGUGUGUGCGUGCGUAUCUAUCUGUUGGCACACUCUGGUUUGAUGGCCGUGUGCUUGUUCACGCAGGCCCAGUUAUAGC
rnacentral:rRNA from 1 species